GACGACGUCAAGCCCCGCCGGCGACUGUUUUCUCAGGAUCUCUGGGCUGAGCUCGACCCCUUCUCCAACUUUUUUGGCUUGAAUUACCUUACUGACAGUGCCAAUAAAAACCACCUUUCUACCCAUUUUGAUUUUAAACUGACCCCUCAAAAGCCAAAGUUGCAGCUCAACAGCAACCAAGGUGACAAUUGUUCUUAUCUUUUUAUUUUUUCAUGAGAAUCAUAUAGAGUAAAUGAAUGAUUACUGGGUUUUCUCUUGAAAUAUUUAUCCAAGUGAUGGGUUCUUGAUUUUCUUGCAUGUUUUUAUAUAUCUGUUGUUGGAGCUGAUACUUUUUCUUUGGCGAUUUCUAGUGGCAGUUGAGAAGGCUAUUGAAAAGGAAGAGAACAAGAAGGCUCCAAGAAUCCGAAAGAAUAUUUACAGAGGAAUAAGGCAAAGGCCAUGGGGAAAAUGGGCAGCUGAGAUUAGAGACCCACAAAAAGGAGUUAGAGUAUGGCUAGGUACCUUCAGCACUGCUGAAGAAGCUGCUCGUGCCUAUGAUGAGGCAGCCAAGCGCAUCCGUGGUGACAAGGCUAAGCUCAAUUUUCCUACACCAACACCCCUAGCAGCACCAGCACCAGCACCAGCAGCACCUACUGAAGUCGAAGCUCCAGUUCUGCCACCGCCAUCCAAGAAAAGCUGCACCAUGAGCAGUCCUGAAACCAAACCAGUUGAAUAUGGGCCGAAAGAGGAAAUAACAAGCCUCGAGACUUUUCUUGGAUUGGAGCCUGAACAGAUGGUGGCUCAGCUGAAUGGAAGUGGAUGUGAAGGUGGUGACUUUGUGG
rnacentral:lncRNA from 1 species